rnacentral:rRNA from 1 species
GAUGAACGCUGGCGGCGUGCCUAAUACAUGCAAGUCGAGCGAACAGACGAGGAGCUUGCUCCUCUGACGUUAGCCGCGGACGGGUGAGUAACACGUGGAUAACCUACCUAUAAGUCUGGGAUAACUUCGGGAAACCGGAGCUUAUACCGGAUAAUAUAUUGAACCGCAUGGUUCAAUAGUGAAAGACGGCUUUGCUGUCACUUCUAGAUGGAUCCGCGCCGCAUUAGCUAGUUGGUAAGGUAACGGCUUACCAAGGCAACGAUGCGUAGCCGACCUGAGAGGGUGAUCGGCCACACGAGAGCGGGGACACGGACCAGACUCCUGCGGGAGGGAGCAGUAGGGAAUGUGCCGCAAUGGGCGAGAGCUUGGCGGAGCAACGCCGCGUGAGUGAUGGAGGUCUUCGGAUCGUAAAACUCUGUUAUUAGGGAAGAACAAAUGUGUAAGUAACUAUGCACGUCUUGACGGUACCUAAUCAGAAAGCCACGGCUAACUACGUG